rnacentral:rRNA from 1 species
UACGGGGGGGGGCAAGCGUUGUCCGGAAUUACUGGGCGUAAAGAGCUCGUAGGUGGUUUGUCGCGUUGUCCGUGAAAACUCACAACUCAAUUGUGGGCGUGCGGGCGAUACGGGCAGACUGGAGUACUGCAGGGGAGACUGGAAUUCCUGGUGUAGCGGUGGAAUGCGCAGAUAUCAGGAGGAACACCGGUGGCGAAGGCGGGUCUCUGGGCAGUAACUGACGCUGAGGAGCGAAAGCGUGGGGAGCGAACAGG